rnacentral:rRNA from 1 species
CCAGGAUGUUGGCUUAGAAGCAGCCACUCAUUAAAAGAGUGCGUAAUAGCUCACUAGUCGAGAGAUCCUGCGCCGAAGAUGUUCGGGGCUAAAACUUACCACCGAAGCUACGGGCUUGAAUUUAUUCAAGCGGUAGAGGAGCGUCGUAAUCGGGCUGAAGUCAUACCGUAAGGAGUGGUGGACUGAUUACGAGUGAGAAUGUUGGCAUUAGUAGCGAGAUGUAGGUGAGAAUCCUACAGGCCGAAUACCUAAGGUUUCCUCAGGAAGGCUCGUCCGCUGAGGGUUAGUCGGGACCUAAGCCGAGGCCGAAAGGCGUAGGUGAUGGACAACUGGUUGAUAUUCCAGUACCACUACCAUCGUUAUUAUCGAUGGCGUGACGCAGGAGGAUAGUGUGUGCUAGCUAUUGGAUGCUAGUCUAAGCAUUUAGUCAGUUACAAUAGGCAAAUCCGUUGUAAUAAUGAUGAGAUGUUAUGGGGAAGGUUCUAUAGAACCGAAGUACAUGAUUCCACGCUGCCAAGAAAAGCGUCUAGAGAGAGAAGUAGUGCCCGUACCGCAAACCGACACAGGUAGGUGAGGAGAGAAUCCUAAGGCCGGCGGAAGAAUUGCAGUUAAGGAACUCGGCAAAUUGAUCCCGUAAGUUAGCAAUAAGGGAUGCCUAUGAGAGUAGGCCGCAGAGAAUAGGCUCAAGCAACUGUUUAGCAAAAACACAGGUCUAUGCGAAACCGAAAGGUGAGGUAUAUGGGCUGACGCCUGCCCGGUGCUGGAAGGUUAAGGGGAGAGCUUAGCGCAAGCGAAGGUUUGAACUUAAGCCCCAGUAAACGGCGGCCGUAACUAUAACGGUCCUAAGGUAGCGAAAUUCCUUGUCAGGUAAGUUCUGACCCGCACGAAUGGCGUAAUGAUUUGGGCACUGUCUCGACAGCCCGCCCGGCGAAAUUGUAGUACUGGUGAAGAUGCCAGUUACCCGCAACUAGACGGAAAGACCCCAUGGAGCUUUACUGCAGUUUAAUACUGGGAAUCGGUAAUUCAUGUACAGGAUAGGUGGGAGACUGAGAAGCACGGCCGUCAGGUCGUGUGGAGUCACCGGUGGGAUACCACUCUUGGAUUGCUGGUUUCCUAACCUGCGGCCCUGAAUCGGGUCGGGGGACACUGUUAGACGGGCAGUUUGACUGGGGCGGUCGCCUCCAAAAGAGUAACGGAGGCGCUCAAAGGUUGGCUCAGCAUGGAUGGAAACCAUGCAAUAGAGUGUAAACGCAAAAGCCAGCCUAACUGCGAGACUGACGAGUCGAGCAGUAACGAAAGUUGGAGUUAGUGAUCCGGCGGUAUGAGAGUGGAAUUGCCGUCGCUCAACGGAUAAAAGCUACCUCGGGGAUAACAGGCU